AAAGAAACCAACAGGGAUUGCCCCAGUAACGGCGAGUGAAGCGGCAACAGCUCAAAUUUGAAAUCUGGCCCUAGGCCCGAGUUGUAAUUUGUAGAGGAUGCUUUUGGUGACGCGCCUACCGAGUCCCCUGGAAUGGGGCGCCACAGAGGGUGAGAGCCCCGUAUGGUUUGCCGCCGAGCCUCUGUAAAGCUCCUUCGACGAGUCGAGUAGUUUGGGAAUGCUGCUCUAAAUGGGAGGUAAAUUUCUUCUAAAGCUAAAUACCGGCCAGAGACCGAUAGCGCACAAGUAGAGUGAUCGAAAGAUGAAAAGCACUUUGAAAAGAGGGUUAAAUAGCACGUGAAAUUGUUGAAAGGGAAGCGCUUGUGACCAGACUCGCGCCGGGCGGAUCAUCCAGCGUUCUCGCUGGUGCACUCCGCCCGGCUCGGGCCAGCAUCGGUUUUCGCCGGGGGACAAAAGCCUCGGGAACGUGGCCCCCUUCGGGGGGUGUUAUAGCCCGUGGCAGAAUACCCCGGCGGGGACCGAGGACCGCGCUUCGGCAAGGAUGCUGGCGUAAUGGUCACCAGCGACCCGUCUUGAAACACGGACCGAGGAGUCAAGCAUUAGUGCGAGUGUUUGGGUGUAAAACCCGCACGCGUAAUGAAAGUGAACGUAGGUGAGAGCUUCGGCGCAUCAUCGACCGAUCCUGAAGUUUACGGAUGGAUUUGAGUAGGAGCAUUAACGCUUGGACCCGAAAGAUGGUGAACUAUACUUGAAUAGGGUGAAGCCAGAGGAAACUCUGGUGGAGGCUCGCAGCGGUUCUGACGUGCAAAUCGAUCGUCAAAUUUGAGUAUAGGGGCGAAAGACUAAUC
rnacentral:rRNA from 1 species